rnacentral:tRNA from 1 species
AGGGGUGUAGCUCAAUUGGGAGAGCAGCGGUUUCCAACUCCGAAGGUUAUAGGUUCAAGUCCUAUCGCCCUUGCCA